rnacentral:misc_RNA from 1 species
ACGACGUUGGGUCCAUGUGGCCUGAUCUCCAACCCUGUGUCUAUCUAAACUCUUGUUGCUUUGGCGGGCCGUUGGGUCUGACCCACCGCCGGCUUCGGCUGGAGAGCGUCCGCCAGAGUCAUUUGAAAACCCUUUAUCCAUGUCGUCUGAGUACUUGUAUAAAUUAUCA